GUCAGUUCAGGCAGAGCCUUUGCUCAGAGAGGAGCUCUGUUUGCGAGCUCCUCUCUCCCUCUUCAAUUAAGGACUUUUUUUGCCCAACUGACAUGGGCCGGGUAAAGAAGCCUGUUGCUUCAAGCUGGUGAUCUGGUUACUCAUUCUGCCCUAAGAGCCUAGUGGAGAGACAACAAAGAUGAUCCACAAAAAUGAAUGGAAUUAUGACAAUCAACUCUUGAAGGCUCAGAAGUCUGCUAUGUCUGGAAAAGGAAACCCAGUGCCUUGGAGCCAGGGUGUGGUGGGGGAAUGCACUCAGCUUUACCCAACAGAUACUGGAAGAAGAAAAGAGCUGCAAUUUAAAGGUGCAGAAGAGUGAAACCAGGAGAAUCUCUAAAGUAAGUGAAGUUGCAUAGGAAUGUGAAUAGAAUUCAGAUCAGGAGUUCCAACAUUCAGCAGGAGAAACCUGAUAUUUGUGGCAUCCUUUUGAUGGUGUGAGAAGACUAUAUAUAUACCGGCACCAAUGGCAACAGUGUCUUUUAUGUUCUCCAGACUCCAUCAAACGGACAGCCAUUGCUCAGAACAGUUGACUUGCUCAGCUUAUAGGAAAUCCUCAAACAGCAUGGAGUAU